AUAAACUUCUCUUCGCUUUUCCUUUUUGAUUACAGCUGUAAACAAGACCGAAAACAACUUUGAGACAACAUAAAUUGUAUGCGGAUGCAAACCAAAUACUUUGAUUUGGUAUUGACAUUGUUUCAAUGUUAUCUAAAAAAGAAUGCUUACAUUUUUGUAAUGAUAGACAUUAAUAUAAAGGAACACCCGUUAUGAUGGGUGAUGACAGUUUCAGAUGAUGUCUCCAGUUCCCUCUCUGAAGAACUUGCUCAGAAUUCUGGGUACCUGUGGCUCUAACAGUUCAUUAAUGUGACACCUGAUCUGUUCCUUCAAGCAUUUACAAUGGCAGUAGAUAUGGUAUGCUUUCCAUGAUCUGCUAAAAUUUUAUAUUCACAUCAAACUCAGAAUCAGAACUUUUGCCCAUUGCUUGUUUGAUUUAAAGAGAGGGAAGGGGCUGAAUCCAAGUAGGUAAGUUGUCAAUGUCUCUUACCAGAAUCUGACAGCACCUUAAACCUUUGAU
rnacentral:lncRNA from 1 species